rnacentral:rRNA from 1 species
GAUGAACGCUGGCGGCGUGCCUAAUACAUGCAAGUCGAGCGCACGGACGAGAAGCUUGCUUCUCUGAUGUUAGCGGCGGACGGGUUAGUAACACGUUGAUAACCUACCUAUAAGACUGGGAUAACUUCGGGAAACCGGAUCUAAUACCGGAUAAUAUUUUGAACCGCAUGGUUCAAAAGUGAAAGACGGUCUUGCUGUCACUUAUAGAUGGAUCCGCGCUGCAUUAGCUAGUUGGUAAGGUAACGGCUUACCAAGGCAACGAUGCAUAGCCGACCUGAGAGGGUGAUUGGCCACCCUGGAACUGAGACACGGUCCAGACUCCUACGGGAGGCAGCAGUAGGGAAUCUUCCGCAAUGGGCGAAAGCCUGACGGAGCAAAGCCGCGUGAGUGAUGAAGGUCUUCGGAUCGUAAAACUAUGUUAUUAGGGAAGAACAUAUGUGUAAGUAACUGUGAACAUCUUGACGGUACCUAAUCAGAAAGCCACGGCUAACUACGUG